CAGCACUCCAGAUGUUUUGGACUAUACCUUCUAUGAUGGGCGUAAGAGCAUUAUAGGGGAUGUAGUCCACUACAUCUGGAGUGCCG